AGCAAUUCCGCAGGGCAUCUGACCUCCACUGUUGACUUCUACCCAGAGGACAAGAACAUUUUUAGUUCCCAAGGAAUGUACAUCAGCCCCACGGAAGCUAGGCCACCUCUGGGAUGGGGUUGCUGGUUUAGAACAAACGCCAGUCAUCCUAUAUAAGGACCUGACAGCCACCAGGCACCACCUCCGCCAGGAACUGCAGCAGAGAAAGGAGUCGAAGAAGCCACCAGCCAAGCUGCAGCCCCGAGCUCUAGCAGGCUGGCUCCGCCCGGAAGAUGGAGGUCAAGCAGAAGGGGCAGAGGAUGAACUGGAAGUCCGGUUCAACGCCCCCUUUGAUGUUGGAAUCAAGCUGUCAGGGGUUCAGUACCAGCAGCACAGCCAGGCCCUGGGGAAGUUUCUUCAGGACAUCCUCUGGGAAGAGGCCAAAGAGGCCCCAGCCGACAAGUGAUCGCCCACAAGCCUUACUCACCUCUCUCUAAGUUUAGAAGCGCUCAUCUGGCUUUUCGCUUGCUUCUGCAGCAACUCCCACGACUGUUGUACAAGCUCAGGAGGCGAAUAAAUGUUCAAACUGUA
rnacentral:lncRNA from 1 species